CGAAAGCGUGGGUAGCAAACAGGAUUAGAUACCCUGGUAGUCCACGCCCUAAACGAUGCAUAUUUGGUGUAGGCAGUUCAUUCUGUCUGUGCCGGAGCUAACGCGUUAAAUAUGCCGCCUGGGGAGUACAGUCGCAAGGCUGAAACUCAAAGGAAUUGACGGGGGCCCGCACAAGCGGUGGAGCAUGUGGUUCAAUUCGACGCAACGCGAAGAACCUUACCUGGGCUCGAACGGCUCACGAACGUCCUUGGAAACAGGGAUUUCCCGCAAGGGACGGGAGUCGAGGUGCUGCAUGGCUGUCGUCAGCUCGUGUCGUGAGAUGUUGGGUUAAGUCCCGCAACGAGCGCAACCCUUGUCCUGUGUUGCCAUCAUUUAGUUGGGAACUCGCAGGAGACCGCCAGCGAUAAGCUGGAGGAAGGUGGGGAUGACGUCAAGUCCUCAUGGCCUUUAUGUCCAGGGCUACACACGUGCUACAAUGGCCGGUACAAUGCGCUGCUAAGUCGCAAGACGGAGCCAAUCGCAAAAAACCGGUCUCAGUUCGGAUUGCAGGCUGCAACUCGCCUGCAUGAAGCUGGAAUCGCUAGUAAUGGCAUAUCAGAACGAUGCCGUGAAUACGUUCCCGGGCCUUGUACACACCGCCCGUCACAUCACGAAAGUGGAUUGUACUAGAAGUCCGCAGGCUGACCCGCAAGGGGAGCAGCGGCCCAAGGUAUGAUUCAUGAUUGGGGUGAAGUCGUAACAAGGUAGCCGUA
rnacentral:rRNA from 1 species